rnacentral:rRNA from 1 species
UACAGAGGUGGCAAGCGUUGUUCGGAAUUACUGGGCGUAAAGGGCGCGUAGGCGGCCUACUAAGUCAGACGUGAAAUCCCCCGGCUUAACCUGGGAACUGCGUCUGAUACUGGAAGGCUUGAGUAUGGGAGAGGGAUGUAGAAUUCCAGGUGUAGCGGUGAAAAUGCGUAGAUAUCUGGAGGAAUACCGGUGGCGAAGGCGGCAUCCUGGACCAUUACUGACGCUGAGGCGCGAAAGCUAGGGGAGCAAACGGGG